rnacentral:rRNA from 1 species
GACGUAGGGCGCGAGCGUUGUCCGGAUUUAUUGGGCGUAAAGAGCUCGUAGGCGGCUUGUUGCGUCAGCUGUGAAAACCCGCAGCUCAACUGUGGGCUUGCAGCUGAUACGGGCAGGCUUGAGUUCGGUAGGGGAGACUGGAAUUCCUGGUGUAGCGGUGGAAUGCGCAGAUAUCAGGAGGAACACCAAUAGCGAAGGCAGCUCGCUGGGACGGUACUGACGCUAAGGCGCGAAAGCGUGGGGAGCGAACAGG